ACGCACGCUGGCGGCGUGCUUAACCCAUGCAAGUCGCACGGUGAAGCGCCUUCCUUUUUGGUGGGUGUGGAUGAGUGGCGCACGGGUGAGUAACACGUGAGUAACCUGCCCCCUUCUUCUGGAUAACCGCAUGAAAGUGUGGCUAAUACGGGAUAUUCUGGGUCUGUCGCAUGAUGGGUCUGGGAAAGAUAUUGUUUCGGUGGGGGAUGGGCUCGCGGCCUAUCAGCUUGUUGGUGGGGUGAUGGCCUACCAAGGCGGUGACGGGUAGCCGGCAUGAGAGGGUGGACGGUCACACUGGGACUGAGACACGGACCAGACUCCUACGGGAGGCAGCAGGGGGGAAUAUUGCACAAUGGGCGAAAGCCUGAUGCAGCGACGCCGCGUGAGGGAUGGAGGCCUUCGGGUUGUGAACCUCUUUCGCCAGUGAAGCAGGCCUGCCUCGUUUGUGGGUGGGUUGACGGUAGCUGGAUAAGAAGCGCCGGCUAACUACGUG
rnacentral:rRNA from 1 species